AACAUCGCGCACCUGCGGGAACCUGCGGAAGGAUCAUUACUGAGUGUAAAAACUCCCAAACCCAUUGUGAACAUACCACUGUUGCUUCGGCGGAUACGCCCCGGGCGCGCUCUUCACAGGGCGUGCCCCGGAACCAGGCGCCCGCCGGGGGACCGAAACUCUUGUUUUCUUAGGAUCUCUGAGUGUGAUUAUUAAAUAAAUCAAAACUUUCAACAACGGAUCUCAGAUCGGAAGAGCACA
rnacentral:misc_RNA from 1 species